CCCGAUAGAGGGGGAUAACUACUGGAAACGGUGGCUAAUACCGCAUAAUGUCUACGGACCAAAGCAGGGGCUCUUCGGACCUUGCACUAUCGGAUGAACCCAUAUGGGAUUAGCUAGUAGGUGGGGUAAAGGCUCACCUAGGCGACGAUCUCUAGCUGGUCUGAGAGGAUGAUCAGCCACACUGGGACUGAGACACGGCCCAG
rnacentral:rRNA from 1 species